rnacentral:lncRNA from 1 species
UUUGUCUUAAAAUGUUAAUUUCCAAUUAAAAUAUUGAAUGCAGAGAUUAUUUCUCUUGUAUACAAAUUCCGGAUUUUUUUUUUUUUUCAGGUAUACCAAAGAAUUUGGCUCUGUAAUGAAAGAAAUGCAGAUAGACUUCCAUCACUGCCAACAGAGAAACCUAGAAAUACUUCUUGAGAAAAUGAGAUCCUCUUUAUGUUCUCUGGGUCUACUCCAGAAUUCUACACAUAAUAGAAGUCUCAAGGUAAGAACAUAUUUGAAUGGUUUCAGCAUAUAAUAAGUUUCCCUCCAAAGUAUCACCAGGUAACAUGUUCGUCUACUUUUUUUGAACAAGUAAUAGAAAGCAUCAAAGUUGGAAACUUAAGCAAAACAUCUCCUUUAUAAUUUCUUCAAACAAGUACAUAAUCCUCUUAAAAUUUACAGCCUCAAUAUCAUAGAUGUAUUGUCAACCUAUAUGAGAAGCAGAGAGAGUAGUUUCACACUGAUUCCUU